rnacentral:lncRNA from 10 species
GAGCUGUAGUUUACAGCUCCGCGAGGCUCUCUAGAGCUUUUGUGUGUCUGUGUGUUUUUAAGAUGCGAGGUUCGGCCGGGUGCGGUGGCUCACUCCUGUAAUCUUAGCACUUUGGGAGGCCGAGGCGGGUAGAUCGCCUGAGGUCAGCAGUUCGAGACCAGCCUGUCUUGCGUUUGAUGUUGCUCGGCUGAUACUCAUUCCCGCGAGCCUUGCCCCGGGCCUGCUGCGGGGUGGGGAGGCCCCAGGCGUCUGGGAACCCCAGCCAGGCCCGGGGCUGGAGCCACCUGCGUGGGUAGAGGGACGGCGAGAAAGGUCAGACGGGGCGCUGGGUGACCUUGGCGCUCAACCUCUCUGAGCCUCGGCUCCCGGAGACAGAGCCUGGCUGCAAAAUGCGCAAGGCACUGGCAGGUCACGCGGGCAGUGAAGAGUGGCGCCAGCCUCCGAAGCCGCCCUUAUUCCCUGAUUUGGGGAAGGGUCCCCCUGAGGACUUACCUGCCACCCAGCAACGCUGCCGACCUACUCGUGGGGCCCAACAGGGAUCCAGCCAAGACAGCCAUAUCCGCAGUGGGUCCCGCAGUACCGGCUGCGGGCGAUUCCGGAGCCCAGAGCCGCUCCAGCCCUGGA